ACCUGGGUGCGGGACUCUCACCCUCUCCCCGGCAUCUCUGAAGUCAUGGGAUAAACCUGUGCUUUUCGGUGAGGGUUCCUCAUUCCUUCAUUAAAUGGGCGGGAGUGGGACAGGCAACCUAUUUCCAGAAAACUGAAGGCCAUCUGCAUGAGAUGUCAGCCAAGCAACCAGAUGUUUGAUGUGGAUUGGCUCCCACAUCCGGCUUCUUGACCGAAUUCCUCCUCUUUCCACCCAGAUGUUUUGGAGACACAUCCAGAGAACUUAAUGAAGGUUUUCAAGCUGCUUUUACUCUGCUGUGUUUCACCAGCCAUCUUAAAAUGAAGGUGCUGUCUUAAGAAGCCAAGCCAAGGCCGAAACGAAGCGAUGAAUCACAAUAUAUGGCCCCAAACCCUCGGGAUGCCUGCUCUGGCUUACAUUUGGUCCUGUCUGUGGCCCCGUGGCCCGUUUGUGAACAGAAGGUGUGUCCCAGCUUCCAGCAGCUGCCUUUGAAAGUCAUGUGUCCGCUGAAUGUCUAUAUUACAGCAAUAAGAGAAACUAUUCCUGUUGUUCCUCUAUUAAUACAGGCGGCAUUGAUUUAACA